rnacentral:rRNA from 1 species
AUGAACGCUGGCGGCGUGCCUAAUACAUGCAAGUCGAGCGAACAGACGAGGAGCUUGCUCCUCUGACGUUAGCGGCGGACGGGUGAGUAACACGUGGAUAACCUACCUAUAAGACUGGGAUAACUUCGGGAAACCGGAGCUAAUACCGGAUAAUAUAUUGAACCGCAUGGUUCAAUAGUGAAAGACGGUUUUGCUGUCACUUAUAGAUGGAUCCGCGCCGCAUUAGCUAGUUGGUAAGGUAACGGCUUACCAAGGCAACGAUGCGUAGCCGACCUGAGAGGGUGAUCGGCCACACUGGAACUGAGACACGGUCCAGACUCCUACGGGAGGCAGCAGUAGGGAAUCUUCCGCAAUGGGCGAGAGCCUGACGGAGCAACGCCGCGUGAGUGAUGAAGGUCUUCGGAUCGUAAAACUCUGUUAUUAGGGAAGAACAAAUGUGUAAGUAACUAUGCACGUCUUGACGGUACCUAAUCAGAAAGCCACGGCUAACUACGUG